ACAAAAAAAAGAAAAAAGGUGGAAAUGUUAUACCAGGUUUGAGUUUCUGUUUUUAGUGCCUGCUAAUGCAGCUAAGAAAAUCACUCAAAUACAGAGGGUAAUUAUCAGUCAGUUAAGCAAAGUUAAGUAAACAUAAAAUCCUAUUUUUCAGCUCACACAAACCUAUUUUAAUGUCACUAUCUGUAAAUAAAAUGACUGACAUUGUACCAGGUUUUAUAUAACUUCUGUGUUAUGUAUUUACUGCAGUAUCGCUGACUGGAACAUAAAACAAAUUUCUGUAGUUUCUCUGUCUAAGGCUUUCAUCAUGAGUAGUGAACAGGAAAGUAUUCAGUUCAUGAAGUCUUGCAGAAAGCAAGCAGACAUUCAUGGUUGCCUCAUCUCAUCUGCUUCUCAAAAAAAGCAUUACUGAAGCAGUAAUGUUUGGAUAAAACUUCACUGGAAAAGACUUCUCCAGAUCCCUGAGACAAAAAAAAGGCAAUUGUGUGUCCUCACUGACCUGGACUGCACACCUUCUGGAGGGUGGAUCCUUAGGCACUUACAGAACAAGUUCAAUUCAUCGUUGUGAUUGAAAACAAACACGCUUGAGAUACCUGCACUUGAAACACUCAUGGAGCACAGCCUGAGAAAUAGAGGCAAAUAGUCUGGAUACUUUCCUGAAAUCUGGAAGUAUGAAUCUCCAUUCUGUGUCAAUGAGAAUGAAGACUUUGGGAUUUUCCAUAAUAAAGUGUUCCUCUUUUAGAGAAGGUGGAGCCAGACUAGAAGACUAAUGUAUACAACGACUUGAGAAAGACACAGCUUUUGCCAGCUAAGAGCUCUGUUCCACCCUGCCUGCCUUCAUUUCCGUCCCUCCUACAGCUCCUGCCAUGAGCCAUUUAGAUGGGAUUAGAGUAGGCAGAGUCCUAGGAGGAUGUGGAGAAAGUUUUAUACUGCAGAAUGUUCAAAGAAGCCAUACAAAGUAUAAUAAAUGUAACUUAUUUGCAUCCAAUUGGAAAAGAAAAUAAAAUUAAA